rnacentral:lncRNA from 1 species
AAGGUAUGAAAACCAGUAGAGGUGAUUCUUUAAAGGGUUGGGGCAUAAAGAAAGCACAGGUCCUUGGGCACUCUCUUGAAGUUUGCAUUUCCUCAGUGUCUCGGGAGGUCAAAUCCUCCUUGAGCAGAAGCUACUGACCCAAACACCAGGGCACUGUUUAGUUAGAUAGGAACAUCUUGUAGACAUGGAAAGUUCCUUUUGUUUUGCCUGUGGUGGGAACAGAGACUUUCUACACAAUGAUGCCUCAGAGACAAUGAUUACGCUAAUUGCUUCUCCAGGUUGAAUAAUCCUUCCUUUUAUUACCACUCUGAGCCUGAGGUGUUAGCCAUUUCCUCAUUUCUGUGUCCUGCUUUGGCUCCUGUCCCAGUUCUCUGUGUCUCCUGAAAGUUAUGAAACCCAAACUUAGAUUCUUUCCAGUUUCUAGGCAACUGUGCAUGCUUAGCAAAAAUGUUCUUGUCAUCAGAGUCUAAGAAAGAUGGCGCCAUCGUCUUACAAUGAGUAUGCGUGCAUCCCUUCUGCUUGUGGGCAUACCCAUGUUCACAACAUAAGGAGGGCAGCCGCCUGAGCUAGGGCAAAUUAGGAGGCAAAGGCUUCGUCUUCUCCAUGGUUUUAUCCACAAUUUAAUCUAAAUUGAUUUAUU